CAUUGACUGAGUCAAACCAAACUACACAAUGUAAAGGGCAUACAUUUCUUUCAAGUUACUGCAUUCAAUGUUAGUUUUGCUGCCUGCGUUUCGCUGAUCUCAUUUUUUCAAAUCUUGACUCCAUUUCUUCCAGGACCUUCGGUGUGUAUCUUACAACCAAUUUUACCUUUCCUUGGGCUGCCUUCAGUAGUUCUACUGCUUUUUCAUGGUGUUCACCUUCGACACUCACUCCAUUUACAGAAAGAAGCUGGUCUCCACGUUUCAGGCCUCCGUGCCUAUCAGCUAUACCACCAGGGAUAAUUCGGGAGAUAUAGAUCGGAGAAUUUUGUUCUUUGCCUCCCAUGAUGUUGAAUCCAAGACCUUCUUCGGUUUUUGGCAGUUCAACCACUCUGGGAUGCGAAUGACCUUCACUUGCAGCAAAUGCUGCUACAGUGGCCUUUGCUGUUGCAUUAGCUCUCACUUCUGGGCUACUGCUGAUAUCCACAGUUUCAUACACAUGUUCAUACACCUCCCUUACAGCAUUACAGAAUUCACUUUGAAGGACCCUUUGCAAAGCCUGUAGUUUCUGUGGUGGCACUUCUCCACUUCUCUGUAAUUUUUCCAGCAACUCAAUUGCUCUGCAAAUAUCUCGCUCCAGACGCACCGGCUCACCCAACGCCGCCAUCUUGUCCUCGCCGCGGUCCCGCCGGAAGUGACGCAGCCCACACGGAAGAAUGAGCGAGGCGCGGUCCCGCCUUGCCUUGGUGUCGCCUGCCAUGCAUGUCCUGUGAGGAGGAGUGGUCGCCGAGUCGAUCGGGCUGGUGUAGGAUAAAUAAAGCAGUCUUGACUAAAGUAGCUACUGUUUGUCGUGUUUCCUCACCGCGACGCGCUCGACCACUCCUACUCCCCAUUAACACACAAAAAGCACCGCCUACGGAGCGCAUAUCUGUUCAUGAGCCAUGAGUGCCCCUGGAGACAGAAUUAUAUAUAAAUCCACUUCUCCCCGUGGGAAAUGUGGAGCAUGUGGUUUGCGUGUCUGUUUGGCACCGGGUUUAUCUACGUGUGGGGCUAACACUAUAUGUAACGUCUGUAUUAAAUUGGAGAUAAGUGACGUACUCAGGCUUUUUCUGGAAGAGAGUAGGAGACCACUUCAGCACAUUUAUUUAUACAUUAAUUUAUUCUACAGGCUUAGCUCUCCGUGUUUGGCUUUGAUUUAGUCUGUGCCUGGUGUUUGCAGCUCUGAAAGAGAAGGGUUCUCAACAGGCCUCCAAAUGUCAGCUAAUGUGAUGGUGAUGUACUCCCUCCCUUCUGUGAUUCAUUUUAAUGCCAGCUCCUUUCAGUUUGAAGGAUGCCAUGUGUGCUUUUCAAUGAAAAGGUCAUACGAAUGGAAUUCUGCAGGUGAACAAAAUUAAAUCCUCACAGGCUUGUUUCCUGCAAGAAAAAGUGUUUGAGCAGCUGGAAGUGCAGAGUGUUUCUGGAAUAAAACCCAGAUGAUUCUAUCACACUGGAGCAAGAAUGGCCACUCUGUUACCAGACUGAAAUUGUAAAUAGC
rnacentral:lncRNA from 1 species